GCAUAUGACACCCCCAGUGCUUGGUUCAAACCUGUUUGAGUCACCUGUCACUUUCUACCUUGAAUUUUUGUCACCAAUGUACAUGCAGUAACUUCUAUACUAGACUGUGACUCAGACGCUCACAAUCACACUCAAACACAGUCUAGUGUUUUUCACAGCCUGGUAUAGAAGGUACUGCCUGUACAUCAGAACAGGGGAGCAGGAGCCUGAUCUGAUUUAUUAUGAAGUCUCCCAAGGCCUCCAGCGCACAGUAUCAGGCACACAGGAAACAAUCAAUGAUUAAUGUGUGCUUCCUCCAUCCUAUGAGAAAUAUUACUUAGGUCUCUUUAUGACGAGUGGCCAAAAAGCACAAAGCCGAAUCUGAUGCUUAUUAAUAGUAAUCCCAUACAUGCUGUAAGCCCUGCAACAACUAUCAUUAUCCAUGUUCUGUUUUUCAAUGGAGGUGUAAUUUACAUACAGUAACAUGCACACAUCUUAAGUGUAUAGCUUGAUGAAUUUUUACCUAAAUGUACCUCCUGGAAACCACUGACCACACAAACAUCUAUGUCUUUCCAUCACUCUAGAAAGCUUCCUUUUUCCCUUUUCCCAGUCAAUUAACCCCCAUGCCCCUCACACUCCAGUGAACCACUAUUCUGACUUCUACUCCCAUAAACUAGGUUUGCUUGUUUGUGAACUUCAUAUAAAUGAAAUUGUACAGAAUGUACUCUUGCAUCUGGCUUCUUUCUCUUAACAUAAUGUUUUUGAGAUUUAUCCAGGUGAUUUUGAGUAUCAGUUUAUUCUUUCUUUUUUUAAUCUGCUGUGUAUUAUUCCAUUGUAAGAAUAUGCCAUAAUUUGUUUAUCCAUUCUUCUAUUGAUGGACAUUUGGACCAUUUCCAGUUUGGGCAUAUUGUGAAUAAAGCUGCUAUGAAUACUGGUGUA
rnacentral:lncRNA from 1 species